CACUGAGGAUGGAAGCACAUAAUGCCAGAGCCAAAUUAUGUGAUCGGUCCCAGUGCC
rnacentral:pre_miRNA from 1 species